rnacentral:tRNA from 1 species
GCCUCUAUAGCUCAGUGGUAGAGCGUCAGUCUUGUUACCUGAAGGUUCGUAGUUAGAUCCUGGGUGGGGGCA